rnacentral:lncRNA from 1 species
CUUUGGCAUACAAACUGGAGUGGUAUUCAUCAGUGUAAUAAAGUAAAUCACAAUAUUUCAGUUGUAUACAGUAAGAAAGUAUCAGACAGCAACCCUUUGACAUACAAACUGGAGUGGUAUUCAUCAGUGUAAUAAAGUAAAUCACACUAUUUCAGUUGUAUACAGUUAUGAAGUAUCAGACAGCAAACCCUUUGACAUACAAACUGGAGUGGUAUUCAUCAGUGUAAUAAAGUAAAUCACAAUAUUUCAGUUGUAUACAGUUACAAAGUAUCAGACAGCAACCCUUUGACAUACAAACUGGAGUGGUAUUCAUCAGUGUAAUAAAGUAAAUCACAAUAUUUCAGUUGUAUGCAGUUAUGAAGUAUCAGACAGCAAACUUUCUGACAUACAAACUGGAGUGGUAUUCAUUGGUGUAAUGAAGUAUUUCAUGUUUGUUUGUGGCUGUUGUUUGUCUUUUUGUCUGGCCAUGGCAUUCUUCUUCUACUUCAUGUACUUAAUGUGGUUUUUCACUUUUUUACUUGGGUAUUGGUGUUGAAUACAGGAGCUGUAUAUUUUGGUGGUGUGUAAUGAUGUUUCACACUGUUUUUGUUGAAUACAAGAGUUCUAUAUACAUUCAGGUUGUGUAAUGAUGUUUCUUAAUAUUUUGAGACAAGGGUAUUUGCAAUAACCAAAAAUUAACAUUCAAUCACUGAACAUAAACAAGAGUAAUAUUUGACUGAUUCAUAUUGUG